rnacentral:rRNA from 1 species
CAAAUAGGAUUAGAUACCCUAGUAGUCCACGCCGUAAACGAUGGGGGCCAGGGCGCGGGGUCGACCCGCGUCCGAAGCAAACGCAUUAAGCCCCCCGCCUGGGUACUACGUUCGCAAGAAUAAAACUUAAAGGAAUUGGCGGGUGCCCGCACAAGCAGUGGAGCAUGCGGUUCAAUUCGUGGCUACACGUAGAACCUUACCAGGGUUUGACAUGCCGGCAAAGGCCCCGGAGACGGGGAGAUAGCUAUGCCGGACAAAGGUGGUGCAUGGCUGUCGUCAGCUCGUGUCGUGAGAUGUUAGGUCAAGUCCUCCAACGAGCGCGACCCCCGCCGCCAGUUGCCAUCAUCAGGUUGGGCACUCUGGCGGGACCGCCGGCGACAAGCCGGAGGAAGGCGGGGAUGACGUCAAGUCAUCAUGCCCCUUAUGCCCUGGGCCACACGCGUGCUACAAUGGCCGGCACAGUGGGAAGCGACGCCGCGAGGCGGAGCGGAUCCCAAAAGCCGGUCCCAGUACGGACCGGGGGCUGCAACCCGCCCCCGCGAAGCUGGAAUUGCUAGUAAUCGCGGAUCAGCCAAGCCGCGGUGAAUGCGUUCUCGGGCAUUGCACACACUGCCCGUCACACCAUGAAAGCCUGCAACGCUCUAAGUCGCCAGCCCGACCCGAAAGGGGGGGCGGCGCCCAAGGCGGGGCCGGUGAUUGGGGUUAAGUCGAAACAAGGUAUCCCUACGAGAACGUGGGGAUG